UUACGUAACUUUCUUCCACUUUUGACACACAUUCCUCAAUAAGUUAUUUCAUCGUUUCGCCAAAGCAAAACGUUGAUGAUAAGACGAUACAAAAUGUGCAACUGAUUACAAAAAGGGAACAAUGAUUGAUAGAUGAAUAAUAUAAUUUGGAAUGUAGUUUGGUUUUGCGGCUAUGGAUAGUACAUGAAGGCAAGUGCCAAAGAAGUAGGCGUAAUUUCGGCGCAAAAGAGGGCAAGAUGGAGAUAUUAGGAAACACGGAAUUAUCAAAAAGAGCGUAAAAUAGAUUAUCGAAAUCGAUAUCGAACAGAUUUGCGACAAUAAAAGGUUCAAUUACGACGACUCGUCGGAUACAUAAAAGGAAUAUACAUAAAAGGAAUGAAAAGAAACUUGUAAAAGUUUACUUAGUUUUUAUAGUUAUUUAUCGGGGGUUCAUUAAUUUUAAUGAGUUAUUGUCGUUCUUCGGUAGUAGUGAGUCAUCCAAACACGAUUAUCGGUUUACUCGAUCUCUGUCUGUUUUACGAACCGAGUAGUGCGCAUGUCACAAACUUGUUCCACGAGUUAACCUCACGUCGACUCGUGAAAAUAAAAAUAAUUUAGAAUAGAUUAUAUUCGAAUGGUUUGGCAGCUAUCAAAAAGAACACAAUUUCGAAUUUUGGCUGGUGGAGUUUGAUCUAACAAUAAAAAAAAAGAAAGAUUGGAUCGACACGAGUAAGGAGGAGAAGGGGAGUGAGAGAGACGUGACGACUCAUCUACUGCGUAUCCUGCGUGAUAAAGUUAAAGCAGAACGAUCACGGUGUGGCAGAAGACGCGCGUAAUAUGUUACGUAAUUUGUCGACUCGACCGGCCACACUGAACGCUCGUUCGUCUCAUCUCCUUUAUAACUUUUAUGUAUGUUUCGUGAAGCCACGGUUCAUUUAUUGACGAGAUGGCCGACAAUGGAUUGCGACGAUUCGUGUUACUUUCGCGAUAGAUUGGUUCGAUGUCUAACGCGUUAAACAGCAGUAAUACGAAAUGAAAAUAUACGAUAUUUUGAAGCAACGAAUUCUGUACAAGUACCGCGAGGUAAAUGCGAUUCUCUCACUCUUGGCAUUCGCGCGUGGCUAUGCGAGUUUAUUAUUGAAAAGUGAACCGCGAUAUUUUCGGAAAGAAAUCGACGAAUAAAUUUUUUCACAAACUGCUCGAUCCAUAAGUAGCGAAAAUAAAAGGAACAAGAACGACGUUCGACCGUCGGGCGUAAAGGCAUGAUUUUAUACAGCACGUGGAUCCACGAUUCAAGGUCAAAUAGUAGAACGCACAAAAAUUUCUCCUUGCCCAAGGUUUUAGUGUGAUAUUCGAUUUUCGAUAACUAUUUUAUUGGGCGUCAUUUUCGAUGUUCACGCGUGUGUACGAAUGAGAAAGUAUUAUAUACGUAUUUGAAUAAUAUAAACUUUAUACUUUAAGUAUAAAUGGACCUGAUCUUUUCGAUCCAGUCAAAUCAAACGCCAAUUCUGCAUACAUCGGACCUUAUAUUCCCUAAAUUAAUAUGGAAUGGUUAUCCUAUACUCUAAUUAGGUUAUAUCGGCAACGAUAAUGUCAGAGGAUGGAUGCUGAAGCAAUGGGACACGCGAACGCGCGCGUAAUGUUUACUCAUACAGUGAAAACAUGUAUGUUAUUCAUUAGUUCGUAUCGUAAGACCAAAGUCACGUGCGUAUCCGUUCAACGAUCAUAUCAGCUGGUAUCGAGAGAGAAAGAGAGAUGAUGUGUGUUUAAAGUAGUACAAUGAGAGAACAUAGGUAGAUAUAAAGUGCGAAAAAAAUGAUGGAUAGCAUAGCCUAUAAGAUUAUUCUAGUAUCAAAACACAUCUUAUCGGCGAUUCUAUUGCUCGAUAUUAUCGUUCGAACUAUCUACUACUCGAUCUAAUAUGUUCUCGCAACGUGAUGAGACACAGAGAUAAAUUGGCUCGUUUAUUCUUGUUUUGUAUUGUACCGAUGCGAGUCAUAUCACAUUUAAUUACAGAUCCAUAUCAAUAAAUUAGUCGAGACUUUUUAUAGUUGCACACCGAUUUUGAUAUUUGUUCGCCAUGAUUAUUUUCGAAUGUGGUUCGAGUUUUCCGUUCAGUGUAUACAGUUCAAUGUCUCUUUAAUUAGACGCGUCAAGGCUGAAUAAAUUAAACCUUCGUGGAUCGAUUCGAUCGAUCGACGGUCGGGGAAGAUUUUGUUCCGACAAUUUUUUACAACACGAAUAGAAUGGAAGUGAAGGUUUACGAAAAUGUGGAGGAUCAAAUGCAUAACGAAACCGAAUUAAUCGAGCGAUUUCUUGAAGGAAGCGAAAAUUAUCACGGAACAGAGUAUAGAGUCGAGGAAGGUUUGAGAAACGGGUGAGACCAUGCUCCGUGAAAAAAAGCCAACGAACUUGUUUGACCCGAAAGGAAGAACGCUGGCCUGGUCUGGCAUCGAUCACACCAAAUUUUUUCUCACUUUACGUUGCGUAGCUUUAUUCUCGUAUUCUGUAUUAUUGCGUUGGUCGAACCGACUGAAAGAUAGAACCCGUACUAUUUAGCAGUAGUUAGUUCGACGUAUAGUCUAUGUAUAGCCCUGCUUUAUCGUGACCAAGAUGUACAGGUAUACUUCUACGUCUACGUGGCGGUAUAGUAGCGAUAUAGUGCCUUCCGGUGUUCUUUCCCUCUUUGCUUUCGUCCAAACGAAAUACGAACGGUAUUCUUAAUACGAGUCUCUAUCGUUUAUCUCCAAAAACGAAUGCUAUACGGACAAUUGGUUGACGAUAACCAACGACCCGAAUCAUUUUUUCUACGAUACGUAGAAUCAGUGUAGGCGAGCCUUCUGUUCAUCUGCAUUGGUGCAUUCGUUCGUCUCGUUUAACACAUACCACGUCGAUUGCAGGAAAUAGUAAAUAUUUUCUUUCACGUGAGCGCGAUAAGAUUAUAAGCGUAUGGUAUUUCCUUUUCGUUCCUCGCAGCGUAUAAAGAUCCCUUCUGAUAAUGAGCCUCUCGAGCAAAUGAAACGAAGGUAAAAUUGUAGACGAAUUAUGAGAAAAUCGCUAGCGAGUUAUUAAAGUAAUACGUGUACCAAGAAGCAGCGAGUUCUGAAUUAUAGCGAAAUAUUUCAAAACGAUAUUUUACUCGUCGAUUAAUUCGGUAAUCUAGAAUUUCAGAUGUAAGAAUUGUAAGAAGACACGUUUCGCGAGAUAUACGAAAUGGCAUGACAUCGAACGAGAAUUCUUCUUUAUUUAUUUUUAAACGAAAUAACUUUAUAGAAGACGCAGAUGCAGGGUGACGUAUCGUAUUUGAUAUUUUCAAGUCCGCGUUACGAUUCUGCCUGACAGCAAUAGUAUCGUUAUCGAUAAAUUCGUAAAUAAAUGCCAGAUAUUAUCUACAGUCGAUGAAUUACAUUUAUGAAAUUGAAAUUAUGAAUUUCGAAACAUCUUGAAUCGUGAGACGAUAGAAAGAGUUAGCUUGUUGCGAUCGAUAUCAAUGAAGUACAAUAAUUCUAUGAUUCUGAAUUGUCACUCGCAUUCGCCCGAACAAGCGAGCAAAAACACCGCUUAACAUAAAUGAUAUUUAUAACGAAACGUUAAGCACGGGAUUCGUGCCAGAUGCGUAAAAGCGAUUUGGAUCCAUUUUGCUCUUGUAAACGCCGAUUUCUUCUACAUUGUCAACAAGUCGGUCACGAACGUAACAUCUUUUCGCCUUUGCAUUGCACCUGAAUAUGUCAUAAAGAAAUAUGAUUUCGCUGGCCGCAGUAAAGAUGUCCGUAUUAAAAUAGGGGGAGAAAGAAGAUAGGAAGAGUUAAAGAAACUAGGGAUUGUUCUCUGUUCAUUGGCAGAAGCGACGUGGUCCUAAUAUCGCAUACGUAUCUCGAUUACGUUGCUACUCUAUUAUAACGAUAUCUAUUCUCACUAGCUAUACAAUUCUAGCCAAGGCAACGCCAAAUUAUUGGCACCGGGUAAUCAUGUUAAACGCGUAGCAAAUGCGUAGCAAACGCUAUAGCUAUCUAGCUGCUUCUCUGAAAUCGAUCGAGUACGUUUCUCGAUUCUUUUUUCAUUUCUGUGUAUCGAUUGAAAAAAUUAACAAGGGCUUGGUAUCGAAGUAUAACAAUGGUAUGAUGAAAAUGCAGUUCGUUUGAAAGUAAAAUACGAUGAAAAACUGUUGAGAUAGGUCAAUCGACAAUACCACUAUCGCACCUAACUCGUCAUCGUUCGUAUACAUGUGACUGAACGCGCAUUUGCAUAGUUAUUUCAAGACACGAUUUCGACGCUUUUCUAACUCUAGUAUGAAUAAACAAACAUGCUGCACAACGAUAGUAGGCGUUUAUAUAGAUAUAUACGAGUAAACACGUAUGUCACGAGACAUAAACAAAAUUACCUAAACAGGGAAUUCACUUAGACGCGAAUACAUUUGGAUAAAGUCGAUUCGAUACGACGAAAUACAAUGAGACACAACGAAACAGACGACUCGAACGGAAUCGUAAAAUUUAAAAACACUUGCCCAGCCAUUGGUGUCCCUGGUUAUAUAAUAUAUGCAGUAUCGCAUCCACCUUGUUAUCUACUCGCUGUAUAAUACUGUAUGCGUGACGGGAUAAUUUAUAUUUAUAAUUUAUAGCUUAUGUUUAUGAUAGUAUUUAAGGUGAAAUUGUUAACUUGCCAUUCUAUCGCUUCUUAUUGGAUAAUGGUCACGGUAUCGAACCAGUCGAAAGUACGAACUAAUUAAUAAUGUACCAUUGGAUACGCAGGGAAGUGUAAACGUGGCGCUAGUAUAUAACUUGUCCAUAUCAGUCGAUCGAUCAAGCGCGUGAUCCUGCAAAUGAAUCAAAAAGUCGGUUGACGCAACGGGAUCGUAUUCGAAAGGUUUCAGAACUACAACCUUUAAUCGUGUAAAUGGUUUAACCGACUACGUACUAGAUCCUGCGUAAUUGGCUGCGCAUGCUUACAUGACGCAGCCUAUACCAUUUGAAAGCGGUCUCUUCGUUCAAACCUACAUUAAUUUGAACGAAAUAAAUAAUUAAAACAGA